rnacentral:rRNA from 1 species
GUAACACGUACGCAACUUACCCAUUACAGGGGAAUAGCCCAGGGAAACUUGGAUUAAUACCCCAUAUUAUAUGAGAUUGGCAUCAGUCUCAUAUCAAAGCUUCGGCGGUAAUGGAUGGGCGUGCGGUUGAUUAGAUAGUUGGCGGGGUAACGGCCCACCAAGUCUACGAUCAAUAGCUGAUGUGAGAGCAUGAUCAGCCACACGGGCACUGAGACACGGGCCCGACUCCUACGGGAGGCAGCAGUAAGGAAUAUUGGGCAAUGGACGAAAGUCCGACCCAGCCAUGCCGCGUGAAGGAUGAAGGUCCUCUGGAUUGUAAACUUCUUUUAUCUGGGGCGAAAACCAUCCUUUCUAGGAUGCUUGACAGUACCAGAGGAAUAAGCACCGGCUAACUCCGUGCCAGCAGCCGCGGUAAUACGGAGGGUGCAAGCGUUAUCCGGAUUUACUGGGUUUAAAGGGUGCGUAGGCGGGCAGGUAAGUCAGUGGUGAAAUCCCCGAGCUUAACUCGGGAACUGCCGUUGAUACUAUCUGUCUUGAAUAUCGUGGAGGUAAGCGGAAUAUGUCAUGUAGCGGUGAAAUGCUUAGAUAUGACAUAGAACACCAAUUGCGAAGGCAGCUUGCUACACUAUUAUUGACGCUGAGGCA